rnacentral:tRNA from 1 species
GGGUAUAUAGCUCAGUGGUAGAGCACAUGCUUAGCAUGCACGAGGUCCCGGGUUCAAUCUCCAGUACCUU